CACGUAAUGGCGGCUUGUCUAGAGAACGCAACAGACGGAGAACUUGUGCGGGUAUAAAAGAUUGAAUGACCGUGUGAUGACGACCUGUGGACAAAAAAACCGAAAGCAGUGUGAACAUAUCACUCAGUAUUCUGGACAGACGCUGCCUCCGACAAACUUGGUCCUGUACAGGGGAGACCACUGUCAACAAUGUCGUCUGCUCAGGUGAACCACUCUCCUUUACUUCAAUCUUAGAGGACAGCCACCUAAGGGAGGAGGUGGUAGACAAAGUUGUAGAGGCGGUGGCGGGGCUAAAGUUUACCUACACGCUGUGACUGAUGAACAGGCGGCACUACUUACAGAUACAGAGAAAUGUGUAUGCGCAUUGACGACACGCCCCCUGGAAGAAGUAAAGAAAACUACAGGCGCUGAUGUAGAGUUUGGCCCCAAUCCCUCACCUGUAUCAGGCAUGAAGAUUCUUAUCAUCCGAGGUCUUCCUUCUCAAAUCGAGGCGGCAGUCAGGCUCAUCAGCAAGAAGACUGGUUUAAAGGACCCAUUACCAGACCAGGCCCAGACAUUCUGGCUACAGUGGGUGGAGGCCGCGUUCCCUG